AACGAACGCUGGCGGCAGGCCUAACACAUGCAAGUCGAGCGCCCCCUUCAGAGGUCAGAGAGUUUAUGCGGUGGUUGGAGAGAUCCGAUCGUCGCGUUGGAUUUCUGAGUUCUGAGUGGGGGAGGCGGCGGACGGGUGAGUAACGCGUGGGAAUUUUCCUCAAGGUACGGAACAACUCAGGGAAACUUGGGCUAAUACCGUAUGAUGCAGAGAUGCC
rnacentral:rRNA from 1 species